UACGUAGGGGGCAAGCGUUGUCCGGAAUCAUUGGGCGUAAAGCGCGUGUAGGCGGUUCGAUAAGUCUGCUGUGAAAGUCCAGGGCUCAACCCUGGGAUGCCGGUGGAUACUGUCGGGCUAGAGUGCGGAAGAGGCGAGUGGAAUUCCUGGUGUAGCGGUGAAAUGCGCAGAUAUCAGGAGGAACACCAAUUGCGAAGGCAGCUCGCUGGGACGUUACUGACGCUGAGACGCGAAAGCGUGGGGAGCGAACAGG
rnacentral:rRNA from 1 species